rnacentral:rRNA from 1 species
UGUGUGGGGUACAAAUGGUUGAGUGUCGUU